rnacentral:rRNA from 1 species
GACAUAGGUCGCAAACGUUAUCCGGAAUUCUUGGGCGUAAAGGAUGCGUAGAUGGUUCAGUAAGUUACUGGUGGGAAAUCGAGGCCCAACCUCGUGGAAGUUAGUAAUACUGUUGAACUUGAGUGCAGGAGAGGUUAACGGAACUUCAUGUGGAGCGGUAAAAUGCGUAGAUAUAUGAAAGAACAUCAAUAUAGCGAAGGCAGUUAACUAUUCUGCUACUGACAUUGAGGCAUGAAAGCGUGGGGAGCAAAACGG